UGUACACACCGCCCGUCACACCAUGGGAGUCAGUUGCUCUAGAAGUCGGUGCGCCAACCUCGUGAGGUAGCCGCCUAAAGAGUGACUGGUGACUGGGGUGAAGUCGUAACAAGGUAACCGUAGGGGAACCUGCGGUUGGAUCACCUCCUUUCUGG
rnacentral:rRNA from 1 species